rnacentral:rRNA from 1 species
GACGACCGCUGGCGGCGCGCUUAACACAUGCAAGUCGAGCGAAGCGGCGGACGGGUGAGUAACACGUGAGUAACCUGACUUGGACAUUGGGAUAGCCUCGGGAAACAGGGAUUAAUACCAAAUGGUCUAAGAUGGACUCGGGUCCCAUUAGCUAGUUGGUGGGUAACGGACCACCAAGGCGACGCUGGGUAGCCGGCCUGGGAGGGGGAACGGCAACAGCAGAACUGAGAAACGAUCCAAACUCCACGGGAGGCAGCCGUCGGGAAUAUUGAACAAGGGAGGGAACUCAGAUGCACCGACGCCGUGUGAACUAAGAAGGCUUUCGAGUCGUAAAGUUCUUUGAAAUGGGAAGCGGUACCAUAAGAAAAAGCCCCGGCUAACUACGUGCCAGCAGCCGCGGUAAUUC